rnacentral:rRNA from 1 species
GACGAACGCUGGCGGCGUGCUUAACACAUGCAAGUCGAACGGAAAGGCUCUGCUUUUGUGGGGUGCUCGAGUGGCGAACGGGUGAGUAACACGUGAGUAACCUGCCCUUGACUUUGGGAUAACUUCAGGAAACUGGGGCUAAUACCGGAUAGGAGCUCCUGCUGCAUGGUGGGGGUUGGAAAGUUUCGGCGGUUGGGGCUGGACUCGCCGCUUUUCAGCUUGUUGGUGGGGUAGUGGCUUACCAAGGCUUUGACGGGUAGCCGGCCUGAGAGGGUGACCGGCCACAUUGGGACUGAGAUACGGCCCAGACUCCUACGGGAGGCAGCGGUGUGGGAUAUUGCACAAUGGGCGGAAGCCUGAUGCAGCAACGCCGCGUGCGGGAUGACGGCCUUCGGGUUGUAAACCGCUUUCGCCUGUGACGAAGCGUGAGUGACGGUAAUGGGUAAAGAAGCACCGGCUAACUACGUG